CUGUGUAUGAGGGUGCUGUUAGUGUGAUGUGUGUGUGAGGGUGCUGGUAGUGUGCUAUGUGGGUGAGGGUGUUUGUGUGUGUGUUUGUGAGGGUGCUGUUUGUGUGCUGUAUGUGGGUGUUGUGUGUUUGUAAGGGUGCUGUUAGUGUACUGUGUGUGAGGGUGUUGUGUGUGUGUGUGUGGGUGAUGUAUGUGUGUGCUGUUUGUGUGCUGUAUGUGUGUGUGUGCUGUAUGUGUGUGUAGGUGCUGUGUGUGUGUGUGUGUGUGUGUGUGUGUGUGUGUACUGUUUGUGUGCUGUAUGUUUGGGUGACUGUGGGGGUGGUGGUGGGGGCAGAUUAGUUAAUAUCCCCCCUCCCUUCUUACUUUAUGUAGGGAAGGGGGGCAGUGUUGCUGCCAUCCUUUGUGGUCUAGUAGAGAGUGAACUCUAGCCUGCGGGGCUAGAGAUCACUCUCGCAAGAUCUGAGCGUUGCCGCGGCAAUGCUCAGAUCUCGUGAGAGGAUCCCGGGGGAGCUGCUGGCUAGAGCUCCCCGGGUCCUCUCCUGCCUCCCUCCAUGCUGCUGUGGGCCGGUGAGGUAGAUCUUUGAUCUCCCCACUGGCCUAUGGAGGCUUAGAGCAGAGCCGGCAUUCAGAUAACGCCGGCUCUGCAUGAGCCGACAGGGUAGAUCCUGAGAUCUCCCC